UACGGAGGGUGCAAGCGUUAAUCGGAAUUACUGGGCGUAAAGCGCGCGUAGGCGGCUAAGUCAGUCGGAUGUGAAAUCCCUGGGCUCAACCUGGGAACUGCAUACGAUACUGCUUGGCUAGAGUGUGGGAGAGGGUAGUGGAAUUCCCGGUGUAGCGGUGAAAUGCGUAGAGAUCGGGAGGAACACCAGUGGCGAAGGCGGCUACCUGGACCAGCACUGACACUGAGGCACGAAAGCGUGGGGAGCAAACAGG
rnacentral:rRNA from 1 species